UCUUUCUCUUUCUCUCGUUGAGAAAAAAAAAUUUUUCUAAUUUUUUAUUGUAAAACUAGUAGAGAAGCCUCUCUUUAAUGCUUAAGAAUCAAUAGUAAAAGCCUCACAAAAUCUCUUCGAAAGGAGUUUGGAAGGAAGCUUGAUGCAUGGGAUAUGGGGCGUCCAACUCUUGGAUGCCCCUCCUUUCUUUUUAGCGAUCAAAGGAGGAGAAAAUGCACCUUCUUUUUCAUGGU
rnacentral:lncRNA from 1 species